rnacentral:rRNA from 1 species
AAAGAAAAUAACAGUGAUUCCCCUAGUAACUGCGAGUGAAGAGGGACAAGCUCAAAUUUUAAAUCUAUCGGGUUUUACCCGAUCGAGUUGUAAUUUGAAGAAGCGUUUUCUGCGUUUUUGAUCAGCCCAAGUCCUAUUGAAUGAGGCAUCAUGGAGGGUGAUAAUCCCGUCCGGUUGAUCAUUUGCGUUUUACGAUACGCUCUCUAAGAGUCAAGUUGUUUGGGAUUGCAGCUUAAAAUGGGAGGUAAAUUUCUCCAAAGGCUAAAUAACGGCGAGAGACCGAUAGCGAACAAGUACCGUGAGGGAAAGAUGAAAAGAACUUUGAAAAGGGAGUUAAACAGUACGUGAAAUUGUUGAAAGGGAAACGAUUGAAGCCAGUCGUACCUUCGGGUAAUCAGCCUUUCGGGUGCGAU